rnacentral:lncRNA from 1 species
UGUAGCUCUGCGAAAAAUACAGUGGCUGCAAGCCUCAAAUGCUUCAAAACUUCCAAUUUUUUCUUCCUUUUGAACUUUGGUCUUCAAACUUCUUGGUAUCUCAAUUUCUUCAAAUAUUCUUCUCUUUGACCAUGAAUUACUACUAAAAACUAAUAAAAAAAACUAAAAUUGAAAUUAAAAUUAGCAAAUGACCGACUGUCAUCA